rnacentral:misc_RNA from 1 species
UUUCCGUUGGUGAACCUGCGGAAGGAUCAUUAGUGAAUUCUAUAUCUCAUCGGCCCUCUUCGGCGUUUCUACCUUCUACUCCUAUCCCUCACCCCUGUGAACUGUCCCGCUGUCUUUAUCACGAACUCGAUUCGAGCGCCUCCCUACUUCUUACUAAUCUUAAAGUACUAAUCGUACUUUUAUUAUCAUCUCUUUAAACUCUCACCACCGGAUCUCUUGCCUCUCGCAUCGAUGACACACGCCUCAGCUCGGCUCACCACACGUCUGAACUCCAGCCAC